UUGAACGCUGGCGGCAGGCCUAACACAUGCAAGUCGAGCGGCAGCGCGGGGCAACCUGGCGGCGAGCGGCGAACGGGUGAGUAACGCGUAGGAAUCUACCCAGUAGCGGGGGACAGCCCGGGGAAACUCGGAUUAAUCCCGCAUACGCCCUACGGGGGAAAGCAGGGGAUCGAAAGACCUUGCACUAUUGGAAGCGCCUGCGUUGGAUUAGCUAGUUGGUAGGGUAAAGGCCUACCAAGGCGACGAUCCAUAACUGGUCUGAGAGGAUGAUCAGUCACACCGGAACUGAGACACGGUCCGGACUCCUACGGGAGGCAGCAGUAGGGAAUAUUGGACAAUGGGGGCAACCCUGAUCCAGCCAUGCCGCGUGUGUGAAGAAGGCCUUCGGGUUGUAAAGCACUUUAAGUGGGGAGAAAGGCUCCAAAGUUAAUACCUUUGGGGAUUGAUGCUACCCACAGAAUAAGCACCGGCUAACUCUGUGCCAGCCGCCGCGGUAA
rnacentral:rRNA from 1 species